UACGUAGGUGGCGAGCGUUGUCCGGAUUUACUGGGCGUAAAGAGCCCGCAGGCGGCCUGGCAAGUUUCAGGUGAAAUCUCCCGGCUCAACUGGGAGGGUGCUUGGAAAACUGCCAGGCUUGAGGCAGGGAGAGGGAUGCGGAAUUCCAGGUGUAGCGGUGAAAUGCGUAGAUAUCUGGAGGAACACCGGUGGCGAAGGCGACAUCCUGGACCGGCAUUGACGCUGAGGAGCGAAAGCCAGGGGAGCAAACGGG
rnacentral:rRNA from 1 species